rnacentral:rRNA from 1 species
GAUGAACGCUGGCGGCGUGCCUAAUACAUGCAAGUCGAGCGAACGGACGAGAAGCUUGCUUCUCUGAUGUUAGCGGCGGACGGGUGAGUAACACGUGGAUAACCUACCUAUAAGACUGGGAUAACUUCGGGAAACCGGAGCUAAGACCGGAUGAUAUUUUGAACCGCAUGGUUCAAAAGUGAAAGACGGUCUUGCUGUCACUUAUAGAUGGAUCCGCGCUGCAUUAGCUAGUUGGUAAGGUAACGGCUUACCAAGGCAACGAUGCAUAGCCGACCUGCGAGGCUGAUCAGCCACACUGUGACUCAGACACCGACCAGACUCCUACGAGUGGCGCCAGUAGGGAAUCCUGCACCAUGGGCGUAAGCCUCACGGCCCAACGCCACGUGUGUGCUCAAGGUUUUCCGCUCGUAAAUCUCUGUUAUUAGGGAAGAACACAUGUGUAAGUAACUGUGUACAUCUUGACAGUACCUAAUCAGAACGCCACUGCUUACUACGUG